UACGGAGGGUGCAAGCGUUAUCCGGAUUCACUGGGUUUAAAGGGUGCGUAGGCGGAUAGGUAAGUCCGUGGUGAGAUCCUGCAGCUUAACUGCAGAACUGCCAUGGAUACUAUUUAUCUUGAAUAUCGUGGAGGUUAGCGGAAUAUGUCAUGUAGCGGUGAAAUGCUUAGAUAUGACAUAGAACACCCAUUGCGAAGGCAGCUAACUACGCGAUAAUUGACGCUGAUGCACGAAAGCGUGGGGAUCAAACAGG
rnacentral:rRNA from 1 species